rnacentral:lncRNA from 1 species
GGGAAAUCCUUUGUCCAGAGCUUUGGGAUCACUGGAUAUCUGAGCUGGGAGGGUCCUCAGAAAUUCUUACUCCAAUUCUCACAUUUGAUGGAUGGAGAAACAUAGCCCGGUGGAGGGAGAAGAGACCGGCUUGAACAUAUACAGGAGGAAAAAAAUGAGCAGAAACUGCUAACAUCUGGAGGCUGCUGUCCAGUUUACGUAAUCUCUUGCCGCAGAGGAGGAACACGGGAUCCCCAGCCAGAUGGUCCAUGGGUGACUUCACAGCACAUGUGCUACCUCCAAGAAUAUAGACACAUUUCCUCUAUCAAUGUGGUGCAGCUGGAUGAUCAAGACCCAUCAUCCC